rnacentral:rRNA from 1 species
CAGUCGCCGCGGUAAAACGGAGGGUGCAAGCGUUAAUCGGAAUUACUGGGCGUAAAGCGCACGCAGGCGGUCUGUCAAGUCGGAUGUGAAAUCCCCGGGCUCAACCUGGGAACUGCAUUCGAAACUGGCAGGCUAGAGUCUUGUAGAGGGGGGUAGAAUUCCAGGUGUAGCGGUGAAAUGCGUAGAGAUCUGGAGGAAUACCGGUGGCGAAGGCGGCCCCCUGGACAAAGACUGACGCUCAGGUGCGAAAGCGUGGGGAGCAAACAGGAUUAGAUACCCGUGUAGUCCCUGUCUCUUAUAC